UACAGAGGUCUCAAGCGUUGUUCGGAUUCAUUGGGCGUAAAGGGUGUGUAGGUGGCGCGCUAAGUCGGGUGUGAAAUUUCGGAGCUUAACUCCGAAACUGCAUUCGAUACUGGCGUGCUUGAGGACUGGAGAGGAGACUGGAAUUCACGGUGUAGCAGUGAAAUGCGUAGAUAUCGUGAGGAAGACCAGUGGCGAAGGCGGGUCUCUGGACAGUUCCUGACGCUGAGGCGCGAAGGCCAGGGGAGCAAACGGG
rnacentral:rRNA from 1 species